rnacentral:snRNA from 1 species
GGAUGUGAGGACGAUCUUGCUGUAACAUCUGUCACCCCACUGAGCACCAGGAUUGAUUCGGCUGAUCUGGCUGGCUACGCAGGUGGCCCCUUCCUCUCUCACCACUCCAGGUGCGUCCCUCCCGAAACUGCGUGCUCUGUCGACGAGGACGACCUUCCCUAAUAGAGGAGAGGACCAUUUUUUGAUCCAGGGUAUACGAGUAGCUGCCCUCCCCUGCUAGAACCUCCAAACAAGCUCUCAGGGUCCAUUUGUAGGAGAACAGAGGGUAGUCAAGUUUUCAAGACUUCAGACACAUCCAAAUGAGGCGCUGCACAUGGCAGUCUGCCUUUCUAA